rnacentral:rRNA from 1 species
GGCUGCGGAGGUCAUUACUGAGUGAGGGCCCUCUGGGUCCAACCUCCCACCCGUGUUUAUUAUACCUUGUUGCUUCGGCGGGCCCGCCGUAAGGCCGCCGGGGGGCUUCUGCUCCCGGGCCCGCGCCCGCCGAAGACAUCUCGAACUCUGUCUGAAGAUUGUAGUCUGAGUAUAAAUAUAAAUUAUUUAAAACUUUCAACAACGGAUCUCUUGGUUCCGGCAUCGAUGAAGAACGCAGCGAAAUGCGAUACGUAAUGUGAAUUGCAGAAUUCAGUGAAUCAUCGAGUCUUUGAACGCACAUUGCGCCCUCUGGUAUUCCGGAGGGCAUGCCUGUCCGAGCGUCAUUGCUGCCCUCAAGCACGGCUUGUGUGUUGGGCCCCGUCCUCCGAUCCCGGGGGACGGGCCCGAAAGGCAGCGGCGGCACCGCGUCCGGUCCUCGAGCGUAUGGGGCUUUGUCACCCGCUCUGUAGGCCCGGCCGGCGCUUGCCGAUCAACCAAAAAUUUUUUCCAGGUUGACCUCGGAUCAGGUAGGGAUACCCGCUGAACUUAAGCAUAUCAAAAAGCCAAAGAAA